rnacentral:sRNA from 1 species
AUCAACAACAAGAACU